rnacentral:rRNA from 1 species
AGCGUAGGCGGAUUUUUAAGUGGGAUGUGAAAUACCCGGGCUUAACCUGGGUGCUGCAUUCCAAACUGGAAGUCUAGAGUGCAGGAGAGGAAAGUGGAAUUCCUAGUGUAGCGGUGAAAUGCGUAGAGAUUAGGAAGAACACCAGUGGCGAAGGCGACUUUCUGGACUGUAACUGACGCUGAGGCUACGAAAGCGGUGGGGAGCGAACA